rnacentral:rRNA from 1 species
GCUGGCGGCGUGCUUAACACAUGCAAGUCGAACGAGUAAAGGUUCUUCGGAAUCCGAGUAAAGUGGCGCACGGGUGAGUAACGCGUAGAUAAUCUAUCCUGGUGUAUGGGAUAACCCUCCGAAAGGGGGACUAAUACCGUAUAUAUCCGUAUCUGUUGGGAUAUGGAGGAAAGGUGGCCUCUAUUUAUACGCUAUCGCACGAGGAGGAGUCUGCGUACCAUUAGCUAGUUGGUGGGGUAAGAGCCUACCAAGGCGACGAUGGUUAGCGGGUCUGAGAGGAUGAUCCGUCACACUGGCACUGAAACACGGGCCAGACUCCUACGGGAGGCAGCAGUGAGGAAUAUUGCGCAAUGGGGGAAACCCUGACGCAGCGACGCCGCGUGAGUGAGGAAGGCCUUCGGGUCGUAAAGCUCUGUCAGAAGGGAAGAAGUGUAUGCUGGUUAAUACCCAGUAUAUUUGACGGUACCUUCAGAGGAAGCACCGGCUAACUCCGUGCCAGCAGCCGCGGUAAUACGGA